rnacentral:lncRNA from 1 species
CGCGAACGCAGUUGGAACUCUAGAGGGUGCUAAGAGACCGCCCAAAAGGGCAGGAGAAAGAGCAAAGUGAGGUGGAACAAGGGGAAGGGGAGGCUCCCAUCGUUUCCCGGACAACGAUUAGAGGAAAAGCAGAGCGCACUUGGUAAGGAAAAGGGACCUUGGAAGCGGGAAUGGCCGCGGGCUGGGAAGUUGGACCCUGCCCAACAGCGGGAGAAGAUUGAAGGGAAACAGGAGAUUCUACAUCAGCUUAACCCCUGAGGCUGGGGAAAGAAGAACUGAAUUUUUGAUGUCUCCUUCCAGCAGACAUGGAUGGAUGGAUGGAUGGAUGGAUGGAUGGAUGGAUGGAUGGAUGGAUGGAUGGAUGGAUAAACUACUGCUAAGACAUGUUUAUACUGCACCACUACUUUUAUAAUUAGAGAAUGGCAAAUGGGUUUUAGUCUGCCUUGGGAGAAAACAUUAUGUUCAUGAAUCCAUUGGUUCUGCUCUGCAACUCUAAAAUGUACCACCAGGGCUAAUGUUUCACCAGCUUAAUGUGAAAGGGCUGUGAUUGCAACAAGGGGCAACAAGUCUCACUAGCUGCUAUCCUGCCUCCAACAAACAUUUAUGCACCAGUCCCAGGAGGUUCCCAAACACAAAUAGUUACACAUUACUGCAGUGCAUUUUUUUCUGUCACAGCUAUUCAAAAGAAAGAUUAGGAGAACCCAAUUACAUGGCUGUAAUAACGCUGUGCAUAGCCACGAGCACUAACAGAAAUUUUAAGCAAUUCUACAAGACAGAGAAAAUUAAUGGGUUGUUGAAUGAAGCCUGUGAAUAUAACCAGCCAUAGGACUAAUAGUAUCCAGGACAGGAGAAUCAAUAUAGGAUUGAAGGGAUUGAGGGGGACUUGGCUGGCCAUGCAGGAAGUUUGGGAGUGGGACCUGUGAGUGAACAAACUCUCAGCUGCAGGAGUGACAUAGCAGGACAUGAACAGGUAGGAGGGAUGAUGGCAGAGCUUUAAAAUAAGAGCUAAAAGAGUUGCUGCAUAUGAAAAAAAAAAUGCAUAUGCAUACAUAUAUGUUGCAUAUAUAUACACAUGUAUGUCAACAUACACACAUGUACAUAUAACUUCAUAAAUAUGAAAUGCUGAAUAAAGUUAUUAUAUGGCAAAUUCUUUCA